GAUUGGCUCAUUGAAAAACGGAGAAUUCGCCCACAUCAAACAUGGCUACCUUGCACGUGCGGAUUUUUCGACAAGUGAGAGUAUACCAGCCUGUUUUUCAUACUAAAAAAGGAAGGUGAAUACAAUGUCAUUACAUCCUCGCAUCUUCAGCAAGUCAUGGAGCCAACAAGCCUUCGUGUGUGAGCAUGCAUAGUCCAAGACCUCAUGAGAUACUUCCCACCAGUGAUUCAUCAACAAGUGGUCAUGUUCACCUCUGCAUGCAAUGCCAGUGUGUUCAAACAUUUUUGCUGUAUGGAGUUUUCCUGUGUGUACUAUGACAAGGCUGUUCACCUGACAGGAGUCCAGCAAAGCACUAACUUGCUACAGAAUGCGCUACCAUGGAUUAUUAUGUUAGUGACAACGCUUGUGACAUCUGUAAGCUUCAAGGACUUGACCAUUUCCUUCAGUGUUUUUGUCUCCAUCCACAACCACACAUGUCGUGAACAUGUCAAAUGAGGAACAGACUUAGCUGUGAUUCGUUUUGAUCGAUGGACCAGAUGGAGUAUGCAGUGUAAGAGACUGAUGAAAACCCAGAGGGUCAACCAUGGACUGCCUUGUUCAAGAGACUGCUGGAAUCAAGUACUCCCCAAUCACCGCCUCAGUUCUGUCAUCUCAUCAGACUCUGCUGCCUUCAUCAUGUGGAAGUUUGCUGAUACAUCACUCAAAACAUUGCACAGGACAAGAGAUACUGACUAUGGUGGAUGGUAUAGACUGUCUGACUCAUCCAGCCAUGAAUGACUGUAACUGCUUAGUUGUGUUCCUGAUUCAUUUUGAACUCUGUGGAUAUGCAUCUUGUCUGAACAUUUUACAGACUGAACCAUACAUGUACAUGUGCACUCCAAGAAGCUACAAGCUAAUCCUGCAAGAAGUGUGCUCCUACAUCUCCCGAUGCUCUCCAAAUGUUGGAUUGUGUUCCAGAGUGUUGCUGCUCUGACCUUUAUUGCCAAGAACUUUUACGGCUAAAGGACUUGCUACAGAGACAGCCAUCAACUAAGGAAAACUGAGUUUAGAAAAUUGGGUUGGGAUGUAACACAGUGGCAUAGCUUCACCUUUUGUCAGCGCUAGUAAAGAUUUUUGCUUGCAGAACAUAAUACAUGUAUUCAUUUACCCAUCUCAAAGAUGGCAAAAAAGUUCCUGUUUAUCUUGAAGUUUAAAAAAGUACACACAAGAGCUGAUACUAAUAAGCUGCUGGUUGCAAUCAAAUUGCAUUUGUGAUUUGAGCUUAAAUUCCAGAAUCAAACAUCUUUGAUUGUCCCUCAAGUUGCCUUCUUGACAUUCCAUGGGCACCUUCAAAGCUAUGCCACUGAAACAGACAGAUACAUGGGUAGAGGGAUGGGACUUAUGGGUUCAUAUAUCUUAAUUGCUAUACAAAGUCCAUUUUGAUUGCUUAGCUCUGAAAGGUUGGGGCAUUAUUUUUAUAAUCAAAGUGGUCUGAAAAAGUGUGACUUUAAAGUCAACCAUCUGCACACUCUGACAAAAAUUGCAUCCCUGUGAAGUUAUGGGCACUGUACCAUUUUUUAGCACAGUUUACAAUAACUGAAGAAAUACAAAAUAAAUUUGUACUUAUCUCUUUAAGGACCUUUUUUAUACUAAGCAUAAUUAUAUGAUCCCACCUCUCAUUGCUCAAAAUGGACUUUGUACAUGUAUUUGAAGAGUUCAUUUCCAAGAUGUGAUUUACGCCAUUUUAUUCUCUUUUAGAAUCCUGCUCUCUCCUGGCUGCUGAAAAGCAAUUUUGUUGGCUGUUAUAUUCUUAAACACAACUAGAAAUCAAUAAGUCAAAAAAUGAAGUUUAAAAAGAGCUGCUAUAUUAUUUUUAUUCUUUGAAGUUCAAAACCGUUCAAAUUUUCACUUUUUUUAAAUGUAUAUGUCACGUUUUGGAAAUGAACUCUUCAUUUGUAACCAGUCCUCACAGUCUAUGAAAAUUGGAGCAAAAGAAAGAAAGAAAAAAACAAAGAACUUUGUCCUGAAGGAUGUAUCAUAAAGAACAAGCUAGGUAUCUGAAAAAUUUCACACUUUGUCUGAAAUCAAACUUUUUGAAACUGUGAGAACAUUGUAUAAAUGUGCGUGGAAAGACAUGAGAGCAUUGAAUGUACGUGAAGUUCAGAAACAUCCAUUGGGUGUAAUUUGCAGACGUGCCACUUCUGAUCCUUGUGUACAAAAAACUGGAUAUAUUCCCAGCUUGAAAUACAGCUUGAAACAGUUGACUUCCAAAUGAUCUAAAUGAAUUCACACUUGUUUUUGUCCAUUUGACCUAAAGCACACUUUAGAAAACUAAAUAUCAUUGUUGAGUGAUGUGAGGGCUGGUUACACCAAUAAUUUAAUUUUUAUUACAAUAUUCAAUGCCUGAAUGGUAAACGUUUUCAAGCCAGGUGCAUGAUGGGUAAAUGAUGUCACUCCACUGUGAAUACAGUUAAAGCAAAAUAUCGUCCCAUGGAAAGUCGCUUGAAAUUUAACAUGUUGCGCGGGCUUUUUUUCGGACAUACAUGUAGGCAAUCCAUCUCAUAAUGAACCAAGCAUUCAAAUCAUCAAGUUCAGUAACUGAAAAUUGUCAAAUUUGCGUUAUGUUCGACCAAUAAAUAUCAAUUUGUCAAUGCUAUUGCCAUUCAGUUUAAGACAUUCGUCUUGGUCAGUGCAAAAAAUAUGCAACCAUUUUGAUAGGCGUUGAGCUCUUACUUUGCUACAUGAAUGUUCUUAUCUUCAAAUAAUAGAUUCCUAGGUUUUUACCCAUCCUCCACCUGGUUUGAACUGUAUAAUCAGCACUGAUGUUAAGAAAUGAGAGGAUUUGAACGAUAGAAUGUAAGAUGGCAAUUGCAGACAUUUAGGCUGAUCACAUUUAGCAACUGUUCAUUUCCAUCAGAUCAUUCAACGUGUGCAAAACAAGCAUGGCUAUAAAUAUAUUUAUCACAAGCUGCUACAUGUAGUUUUAAAAACACAAGCUGCUACAUGGAGUUUUAAAAACACAAGCUGCAACAUGGAACUUUGAAAACUGGCUCUUUCUCUUUGACACUGCAUUGAUGAGUUCACAAAUUCUGCAAAUUUUGGUGAUUUUGCAGACUUGAAGCUUUGCCUAAUUCAAAAAUGGCGUUUAAAAAAAAUACAGCUUAUGCAACUUCUGGUCAUAGUAAGCGCAAGCACAGUUGUAUCUCAGUGCUGAUUAUACAUAUACUUCCAACAUUUAUUUUGGAAAAAUAGUUUAACAAUUUUCGCAUUGUUGUCUUUUACCAUCAGGCACUGUGAAUAAAAACCAAUAAAGCCCAGCCACAUGCAGGCCCUCCUGGUGCGUGCACGUGUGUCCCCUGCCCGCAGACGCUGACAGGUUGGUGGUUGCCCGCUAUCUGCAUCGGCUUGUGAAUUGACUGUUGGUGAUGUAUGCAACUCCUUCGAAAUCUUGCACCCUGGGUGAUUGUGGAUACCUCGGAAGACUGCAACAUGGUAAGGAUCCUAUAAACUUUGGCAAUUGGUUAGUUUGUCUACAAAGCAGAUGUACAUGUCCACUACUCCAGGAAUGGCAACUCAAGAGAACACUUCUGUGUCUAACUCCGCCAUUGCUCACUUGAAACAUGUCAAGAGUUCUCAGCCAUCAUUGCCAGUGAUCCGAAAAAAUAAUGAAAUAUUCAGCAUCAGUUACUUGUUGUGGGCUUUCUAGGAUAUUUGACAGUGUCGUAUGAUGUUUGAACAAUUGUUUGGCCACAAUUGUCUUGGUAAUUUCCACAGUAUAACUCUGAAAUUCUAGUUUUGCAUUUGCUCAUUUCACCUCAAAGGGAGGUGUUUUCACCAAAUGAAGUCAUUUAAUAAGAUGGUGCAAGCUUCUUCAAAAAUUACAAUCGCGUCUGAAUUGUAUAUUCAUGGUUUUGGUAGCAUACACACAUUCUAAAUUUGUCGUAUUUGGAACUUUUUAACAGUCGGAAUUUACAGUUAGUAAAUUGCAAACAAUUAAAUUUGAAGUUCACAGUAGUUGGCACCAAAAAAAAUAUUGAAUUAACAAAAUCGCAUCCUGGUUUUUGAGAGAACAAAAAAUUCUAAAUAUGACUGAAUUUCUAUAAUGAAAAAAAUAAGAAAGUCUAAAGAUACUUCUGGACAUUUCUGUGAAACAAAAUUCAAAUUUUUAAAUGUCAUCAUCUUUAUGCGUACAUGUAGGGUUUUUUGCAUCAAAAUCAAAAGAUAUUUGUAAAAAAGUAAACCAAAAACUGGUAGCUGUACUCUUCAAAACUUUAGUAGAGAAAUGCCUGGUGUGCAGAGAGGGAGAACCAUGCUGUUAGAUUGCUGGGUGGAUGAUGUAUCCAGGCCAUUCACUCACAUCAUAGAGGGGCAAAAAACACUCGCUCUGAAUUUGUCCAAAGAAGGGAGAAAACAAAACAUGUCUGGGAGAAACUACCUUAAAUAUGAUGGAAAGUAUACUGUGCAAAACUGGAGUCAAGUCUGCCAGAGACUCACUUAAUAAGGGAGAUUUUCAUUUCUCAUUCCCAAGGGAAAUAUGGUUGCAAACAACCAGACGUUUGUUUCUACGUUGUGAAAUUCUUUGAAAGUACAUGUAAGUAUCCUUGCUAGCAAGGAUGAAAAACUCACUUGACGGACUCCACAAUUAAAAAAAAUAAGAAUUGGCGCUUGCAGAAUGAGCUAAAUUCCAUCCAGAAAUUGUGUAGAUAUUUCUCCCAUUCAUCAACUCCCCAAAAGAAAAAACCUUAGCGGCAAAUUAAACAUGGGACAAAUAGAAAGUGGGUGUGAACCCCUCGAUCAAUUGGAGUGAAUGGCCUGGGAGAUUGGGUACCAAUCUGCCUCUCAGUAUCCUAAACAGAAACUGUGACAUCAGACACGGGGAGCCAGUCCUGCCAACAACUUCCAUGGUAAGUUUAAUUGAAGUUUGUAGAAUGAAUUCAUGCACUGGUACAUCCUCAUGUGUUGCUUUUUAAACCCAACUGUGUAUCUCAUGGCUUAGGAGUAUGGUGUAGUCUGCAUUAAACAAGGCAGUAAUGUACAGAUGGUCUUCAGUCUAUGGCAAUACACAGUGGCGUAGCUAAUGGCCACGGGGGAGGGAGGGGACCAGACUAUCAGUAAUUGGUUGAUGUGCUAGUUGAUCAACCACAAUAGGAGACAGGCAGUCAGUGGUCCACUAAAUCCACACGUCAGUCAACCAAUCCUGCCAAAGCUGCAUGAGCAUGUGGAAAUAUCAAACAUAACAGUUGUUCACACAACUCUCAAAUGCUGAAAGCAUUAACAAAAAAAGUCACUUGAGUUUGCUAUACUUUGCGGGGGGGAAAAAAAUCACUUGAUCUGCAUGUAUUCCUUGACCCAAAAAACACUUGUCAAUGAGUCGUUUUGAAAUACAAAAAACUCUGCAUGUUAAUAUGAGGCACAGAAAUUUUGAGAUUUCUUGAAAAUUUUGGAAAGUUUUAAAUAUCGAUUUGACUUUUUAAGAUAAAAGUCCAUUAUGGAUUCUAAGAGUUGGCCAGAAAUGACGUGUCAAUUUUUGAAAUGAAUGCUUCUUGCAGAAGUUUCUUCAGUGGAUGUCAGUUUUUCAUCCAGUAUGCAUGUCACAAUUUAGAGGAGCUGGGUUUUUUUUUGGAAAAAUCGAAAACACAAAAAUCAAGUGAUCUAGUUCAGUUGGCUCAUGCAUCAAAUUCAAGAGAGCUCGGGGCAGCCUUUAAUUCGGGCCAAAAUAAUGAAAAUUAAAAACUUGUUUCAGUGUUAGGUCCCUCCCUCCCCCAUAAAUAUGAAGCUAUGCCACUACAAAAUAUCACCAAGGUUUUUCCUGCAAUUAACGGCAAAAAAAUCAAACAAACUUGCUAAAAGUUAAGCAGCAUUUGUUUUGACAUGAAACUUGAUCAAGGCAUUGUAAUUCUAAUGUCGGCCGCAGUCUGUGAUGAGCUCAAAUCACUGAUGUCUGCCUGAGCAGACUCCAAAAGCCAAAAUAGUAUUGAAUUUAAAAUUACAAAAAUAUUACAGUCUGGACUUUACUAAGUGCAGAUAGUGCUGAUGCUAUUUACAGCCAAACGUUCAAACAGCUACCGAUAAUAACAGUUUUGAUGCGAAAUGCCUCUGCUCAAAACAACAUACACGACUCAUGUCGUAGCCUGCAUUGUAAUCGAUAUGAUCCGAGCUAAACUCGGCUCAGCAGGCACAGGUUUCAUUAGUACCCACUUAAUGUGGAUGGAGAAAGAGCCGAGGCAAAGUUAGCACUGCGCAGUGCUAGUUUAAGAAUACAUGUACUGUACAUGUACAUGUUCAUGUCAUGGUAGACUGUUCAUAUGGUUUCUGUACCAGAUGCAUUAUCCCGCUUGUAAAACUUCAAAGUGAGCGAUUGAAUACAAAGAAUCUGCCAAUCUUUAGUGAUAAGUCAAACUUGAAUCUAUGCAAAAAUCCUGGCAAAAAUCCUGGCAGAGGAAAUUUCCAGUCGUGAUUUAAUUGAGCUCUGUUUGUUUCUCUAAAUUUCUGUUUGAAAGAACAUAACCAGUCAAUGUCUUGAUCAAGUCACAAAACCAAAUUAUGUGAUGUAGGAAACAAAAUGUCCCAAAAGUUCUUCAUUUCUUCAUGUACAUUUUUCAUCAUGACUGGAAGAAGUCAGAAGAAAAAGAAAAAGCGAGAAAAUCCUAAAGGCAUAUUUUGAAGAGUCAAUUGCACCAGCAAGGCAAAUGUAUGUCAAAACAGUUCAUUUCAAAUUUGUAACCAAAUUCUCAGCAAUAAGUCUAAAAUAUAUUUUCGCUGGAUAUGUUUGUUUUAAACAUCAUAAGCAAAUUGUAAGGACGUUGCUGCCUGCUAGCGAUACUUGCAUUCAUGUAAGCACCAUGGACCAAAUCCCAGUGCUUAUAGUGUUCUAGCGUGAGAAGAAAUGGAGAACUUUUGGGACAUUGUUGGUAUUGCCAUAGACUGAAGACUAUCACAGCUCCAUGUCACAUGUUUUUCCAUGUCGAAACUGUCCUUACGACAGUGUAGGACCUUGUUGAAAAGAAUUUAAUUUUCACAAAGACAAAGGACUCAACGACGGCAUGUACGGAAAAUGCGCAUCUGUGUAAAUGCAAUCCAUGUAAACGAACAUGUGAUAUCUUUCAAACUGUACUUUUCAAAAUGUUUAUCCUAUCUUCCGACCUGAAAUUGACGGGUAGUUGAUUGGAGAUACCAUCUCGUAACUAUGUCUAGUUUAAGUAAUGUGCAAAUAAGAUGCUUAUCGGAAAGGAUUUAUUUAUGUUCAAAGUUGAAAGAUUGUUAAUUUAAUAGUUUCUACACUGAAAGCAUUUCAGGAGUAUUACAUAAAGUACAUGUACCUAAAAAUAAGUAGGUGUCAUAACCGUUUUGCUUAGUUAUGUCAUGUUAUUCCCUAAAAUUAAACCGUGUAGGGAAAAAAAAAUCUAAAAUGAGAUCAUAUGGGUAAAGAUGUGGGGAGUUUGCAUGGUUUCAUGACGAUGUGAUGCUGUUCUUGACUAAGGUGACAAGGAACAAGUCUUACUUGUAGAUUUACAGCAACUCUUCCAUUUAGAACUUUAUUGGGAAACAUCAUUUGCGAAUAAAGUGUAUUUCCAACAAGAGUUUUAUCUCACAAAGUUUGAACUUACGGAGAUCAUGUUUUUCCAAUGAGUCAUCAGCCAAGAUGUCGAUAGAACUUGUAAGAUGUUCAACAAACGACGGUUGAUUAAAUUACUUGUAAAUAGAACUUGUAAAAAGGACUUACUUUCUGCUAAUUUAACACAGGUUUAGACAAUUAUUACAUUCAUCUCUGGGAUAUGUAACUGGUAGCACUAUAUUCAGAUAAAUGAUGAAGAGGUACAUGUGCAUGUAGGGCCUUGAUAUUUUCUGUAAACUCUAGAAAAAGACCACAAAAAUUGCCUGUUUCGGUUUUUCAAUAUUCACAAUCGUCUAUGUGUACCGAGUCAUUAGUAUAUUUUUAAAAUUGGCAUCCAUCGUACAAUAGUAUUCUGAUAAAUUUCAAAUAGAAAACUUGCAGGGAUAUCGGAAACUUAAACAUGCAGGCUAGAAAUUUUAACACUCAUUUUAAAUAUAUAAAUUACAGUCGGACUAAGAUUUAUGCAGGAAAUAGUUCUUAGAUGGUACGUAAUCUCCGUCAACCCCUUGUGAAAGAAAACGAUAGAUGAAAUGUCGGAAUAUUUCGCAUUUUGCCGCACUUUGCUGUCACGAUCGUGGCUAAUGUCAAAGACCAAGAAAUUAAAAGUAGAGUGUUGCUUAGGCAGGUCCUGGGAAAUCCAAAAUUACUGAUAUUAACGCAGACAACUGAAAAAUAGACGCUGUUGUGUUUAAUGCCUUACUUAAUUCAGGCUCCUUGCAUGAAAUACAUUUAUGUACUAUGUGGUAAAAACCAAAAGAAAACAUAGGCUGGUUCCUUGCUUGUCAUUGCCCUCUUUGAACAGAGGACUGGUAGGAACCAGUCCAGAAGUUUGAACAUGUACUUUACUGGUUGGUUAUCACCGAUUGCAAAAUAGGUCUCGUUCAAAUGACGUCAUUUCCUACAGACUAUCCACGUGCAUCGGCAUUUUGAGCGUGAACUUGCAUAUCGCGCAUUGGCUGCAUCAUAUUUCGAACACAUUUCGAGCAACAAGCGCGGGUGUUUGGAACAUUUUCAACAUUGCGCCAUGCGUACUUGAUUGCGCAAAAUAUGCAGAACAUUGCAGUCUCCUACAGAGAUGGCCGUCAUUGGGCGAGCCCUAAACGGAAUUACUCAUUAUUGAUACAUUGUAUAUCACCUCAUUUUCUGAGGUGAUAUUGUUACAGAAAUUCAAAAUGUUCGUAACAUCCUCAAAGUGAAAGCUGACAUUCUUUGAGUUGAUGAAUUCUUUGCGCAACUGUUUGGCGCAGGCAUUUGAUUAAGGACUCGACGCAUAAACUGUAUAUCUUGCUGCUUUGCCUGCGCAUAAGAGGCGAUAUAUGAAACACGACAUGCACCUACAGGUUAACACUUGUGUACGAAAUUACACAGAGCACAAGUAAUCCUCUUUUGAUGGUUGAAUAAUAUGCACAAACUUGUAGACUCUUUAUUUGUGUGACAGGAACGCACUGGAACAUACGUCGUAGUGUCACUAAAACUUGUUACGUAUUGAAGUUUUACAGUCAAGGCUGGGUGUAGCUAUGCAAGUUGUCCGUUACAUCGUUACUGACUUGAAUUAGAAAAAAUCUAUGUCCAUCCAAAUUUCAAAAGCGUCAAUGUUGCAGUUACUUAGAGGCCGAGAACAUUCAUAGACUUAUUUCAGUGCUUCUAUUUAUAAUUUUAAUUCAAUCCUUUAGAUUUUCCCCAGGACCUGCCUAGGUUUGCAUGUGAGCAUGUACAUUACCUGCCUUAUGCAGGCAUGCCUACUCCAUUUAUGCCAUGAGAAUCGUUGGGUUUAAUGAGUAACAAUGAGGAUGUGUAACCAUGAAUUGUACAGUGCAUGAAUUAAUGAAAACUUCAAUUAAACUUAGCAUGGGCGACGGGACAGGCUUCCCCCGUGUCAUAUUGGAUGUCACAGUUUCUAUGGAUGCUGACGGGCAGAUUGCUACCACAUCAUCCACCGAGUCACUGAGCAGUAUGGUUCUGCAGAAGGGCAUGCCAGGAUCGUAGAACAAAACGAAAUAGAAUUGGAUUCUAUCGAGAAAAAGAUUCAAUCUAUUAAACCUUUGAAUCAAUUUAAUGUUUUGAUGUUGUUAACGAAAUUGGCUACCCAGAAAAUCAAAUUUGCCUGAACUUCAGAAAGGCAAAUUGUCUGUUAGACUUGAAUUGAACAACGAAUAACAAUGUACUGCGUACAGCAAUCCCAAGUAAAACUUGGCAAUACAUUUUGUCAACGUUUUUGUGCCAAAAACAUUGGCGUAUACAAUAUUACGAACCAAUUAAUAUCUUUGAAAGGUGAUGACACAACUACAAGCAAGAGAAAAUGGUUAAAAUUCUGCAGGUGAAAAUGAAAUAAUUGUCACCAGGAUGAAUUCCAACUCUGGAAUCUUUGCACGAGAAUCUCGUCCCACAAUUUAUGGAGCUUGAAAAACUUUGCUCCUCUCAAUAUUUGCUGGAAACAUUGAAGUGUGGUACAUGUACAUUUACAUGUACAUGUACAUGUACAUGCUCAUACUCAUGCUCAUGCUCAUGCUCAUGUACAUGUACAUGAACAUGUACAUGUACAUGUACAUGUUACAUGUACAUGUACAUGCAAGGCAUCUCCUAAUAGCCUUGACUGAAACUUACACCGCAAAUACUCCAUGAAAAUUGCUAAGGAAAUAUCUUGCGAAUAGUUAACUUUACUUAAACAUUUAGGAAAGUUGUGUGCUACCAAUAAACCUUGCCAACUAUUUUGCUUGCACGAUAGUCAGUAAAAUUUCCGUUUGGAACUACCUGUACAUAAAUACAGGUUAACUUGGUGGAAAUUAAUCAACACAAUAUUUUUGCAGCUGAAAGUAUGUAAAAUUAAACUUGUGUGGUAUCACGUGUGGUAUCAUCUACCGUAUGUCAGUAACAAAUGUACGAUUUGUUCGUUAGACGUACAUGUAAAAUGUAAAAACAACUGCUGUAAAAACAGCAUAACAAUUAGAGUUAAAACUGUGUAAAUUUACCAAUGUAAUUUGUGGCCAUUACGAUUGAUUAAAUAUUAUCCGACACUGGAAAUAUCCAAGAAAAUCUUCAUGACAAGGAAACUGAAUGCUGGGUAUUUUAUUUGAUCGGAUUAAUUGGCAUGAUGUAACUGUGAACGGCUGAUAUGUUGAGAGGAACAAUAACGGAAAAGAUGCAGAGUGUCUCUUUAAUUGUCGUUCUUAGAGUAGAUGGUGGGUUACCGUGGCAACGGUCAUAACCAAAAACCCAAAGUACCAUCUGCCUUGUAGAAAACUGAACCGAUUGUCGGAGUUUAAUAGGAUCCUUAUUAUGUUGUUUUCUACUUGGGUUAUCCAUGAUUGCACAACUUGCAAGAUCUAGAGGGCGCUGUUUACACUCAUCAAUAGUUGGUCACAAGUUGGUGUGGGUAGUUGGGUGACUGCUGCUUGUUGGUGUCUGUGGGCGGGGACAUGCGUGUGCGCACCGGGGGGGCCUGUGUGUGGCUGGGCUUUUUUUUUGGUCAGGUAAAAGGUCAAGUUCAAGGUGAAGUUCAAGUUCAAAUUCAAGUUCAAGUUCAAAUAAAAAAAAAAAUAAAUAUACAAGUUCAAACCAGAUGGAAAUAAAUUCAAGCAACACCAUCUUACAUUUUGGUUAAGAAUUGUUUUAUUUCAUAAACAGCGCCCUCAAUAUUUAGAAAAACCAACUUAAAAAAAAAUCACUUUAAAUAUUAUAGAAUAGCGCCCUCAACAUUUUGAUAACUUAAAAAAAAUAUUUGAUAAACAACGUCCUCAGUGUUACAUAACUCACCUUGAGUAAAGAGCGCCCUCAGUGUGUUAACAUAACUUUAAAGCAGCAAAGUUCAAAUGUAUACAGGCACAGUUCUAUUGGGGAUAGAUUUUUUGUUUUAAAUACAACUCUAAAAAUGUAUAUUAUAAAAUGUGCUAUUGCCACUAGUGUAAAUAAUAUUCUUCUCUAUAAAAUUUAGCAAUUUUUGAAGCAAUUUUGUAAAAUGAUUUCUUUUCGAUUAACAUUUUGUUCCCGUUUUUAGAACUGUGCCUGUACACGAUAUUAAACUUUGCGUUUAAGUAAUCCAAAUUACUUCGGUAAUAAAAACACUACACCAAAAAAGCAAAGAUAUGUUUUAUUCGUUCAAAAAUAUACAUCAAAUCUACACGAGCACACCAUAGGAAUGAUUUACAGCAAUUUACCAGCCAGUGUCACCAAAAAGUUCUAUUUUUUGGAACAUAAAGUACUAAACUGUAUUUAAUUAUUCAUAAGAGUCACAUUGCUCUUAAGAUUUGGCUAGUUUAAAGUUCUCGAUUUGUGCUUUUCAACACAUUUAUUUCUUUUUACUGAAUUUUUUCUUCAAUUGAAGUUUCAUUUAAAAAGAAAGUUUUUUCCCGGAUAUUUUCAACAUUCUGAAAAAUAAUGCGCUUUCAUUUUGGGCCAUCACGCACAACAGUAUUUUCUGGCAGCAAUUAGAAAUCAUUGUAUAUUAACUAAACGUGGUCUGAUAAUUUGAAUUGUUAGAAAAAUCUUUUUCUGAGUGAAACUCAAAACUAGCAAGGGGAGAGAACUUUAAAAGUUACUUUGAUAAUUUAAACUGUAUGACAAUUACGUGUCAUUCAUUUAAGUGGUUUUUAUAAGUGAAAAAGCAGGAUCUGAAACUGCGGCAUUUGACAUACAACUGCAAGGAUACUGGCAAAAUUCUCUACAAUUAUUGAGUUGGACUGACUGAAUAAUUCAUAUGGUGUGCUCAUGUAGAUACUUAAUUUCUAUAUAACCAAAUAAACCAGGCACAUGUCAGGAAAAAAUGACUAAAAAGUAAUUGUGAUAACCAAAAUUUUCAAUAAAAAGUAAUUGUGAUAAUCAAAAUGUUCAAUAAAAAUCUUAACAUUCAAUAAAAUCAGGAAAUUAAGUUAGAAAAGGUGACCCUCUUGUUUUCAAAUUUAAAGGGAAAUUUUCAAUCCUAAGAAAUGUUACAUCAAACCACACCAACCUAAUUGCCAAGGUUUUAUUUUGUGCAGCAUGAAGCCAUUUCGAAUAAAUAAAGGAGCUUGUUGAAAGGAAAGGGUUCAAUGCAAGAUCUUGUCUUCAAAGAAAUUAGACGUUUUGAAAUAAGAGCGGUUUAUAGGUUCUUUAAGUCUUGAUAAUGUAAAGAUUAUUUACAGAUAGUUGAUUAAAUUCGAGUUGAAAUAUUUACUUUAAAACUCUUGUUUUUUAGUUUUUUGUUUUGCAAAAACCAAGAAUUACUUUGAUAUAUUUGACAUGUGCCUGGUUCUACAUCUUCAUAUUUGAUUGUUAGGGGCAAAUCCAUGGCAAACGUUUUUUACUUGUAUUGAUUGACAUUGCAAGAAACACUGUGCAAAAUCCUUCAUUUACAAUUCCAGCUCUCAUUGCUACUGUUUCAUUUAAAAUUAUGAAAAUCUUUUAAGCCUCACAAGCUUCUUUGGAAUGCUUCUUCAGCCAAAACUUCCUAGUUUUGAUUAUGUUUCUAGAUAUGAGUUUGCCAUAGAUUUGCCCUUUCCCUAAGACGAUUCCAUCCAAUCUUCCCGAGGAGAGUCCGACCGGUGGGCAUCAGAUCCAGACGUCAGGAGCAGCAUCAAUAGAUUCCGGACUUCAAAGCCUUCACAGACUCGGCACAUGUUGGGAGAAAAGAGAAAAAAAAAUGGAAAAACAUGCAUUAGUUCAGUAAAUUUUACAGUUGUAAAGAAGAAAGGUCGUAGAAGAUGUCUCUCGUAAUUUAAAAUGACAAGGGUGGCCACAAUACUGCAACUCAGAUUUAACAACCAAAACUCUCUAGGGGUAUAACAUUUCAUGUUAUGACUGGAGGAUUCAGGACUGUUAGGGUUAAUGAGGGAUUCAAAUACAGAAAUACUGUGUGUCAGUACGUUUAAUGUUUGCAAAUGAAAAGCUACAGUAGUGGCCACCCUGCUAGAACACAAACAUAAUUCUCCAUUUGCCAAUCAAAGCUGAACUCUGCCUUGUCUGGUUCUCUGUCCAUAUUGUCCUGACUUCCAAAAUGGGGACAGGUAGCUAGCACUGAAUCCUGAACCCAUUAGGAGGCUGUCUCGUAAUGUAUGUAAAUUAUAUACAUAACUUGCAUAGGUCUGAAUCCCGCAUCCUGAAUUCAAAAUCACAACGGUAAUGUUUGCGCGCAACCAAACUCUUGCAAAAUUGCAAUAUGCCAAGAAUGUGCAAUUUCUGAGGUGAUGAGCUUUGAUUUUUUGCUGAAUUUGAAUGUGUCUCUGGCAAAUAUCAAUAAGACAGGGGCAUAACUGUUCAGUAUUUAAAACCAAUGCAAUUCAACUGCUUGAAAGUUGCCUUAAUUCAAGACACUGACGAUUUUGCAUACUUUUUGUGGUAAGACAAGAGUUAGUUUUUUAUAGCCAUGUGUUCAACUACCGUCCAUGCACAAACAAAGCUAAAAAGGAUUAAAAAAUAAACAUUUCUUCAUUUGCAGCGAUCAUCCAAUCAAUGGCUUUUAAUGGGAGCUAGCUACCAGUCCCUAUGCAUAUUUUUAGUGUGGGGGCACUCUAUACUCUGCCUUGUCUAUAACACCUCACCACUUAAAGUACUUUUUUCCAGUUAUCAACCACUUUUUAAUUUAAAAAAUAUGCAGUGCUAGAGGAAACUAAGCCAUCAUUAAAAAAAAUCUUUGCAAUGUAUUGACCCAGUAGGAGUAAAUAUUUGAAAAUUAAAAAAAAAGAUCAUAAAAAGGCAAACAAAUUUUGUUAGAAACGGACUGCAUCAAGGCAUGAUAUUGGAAAUAAAAUUCAAGCAUGUACUCGCAGUAAUCCGUCAAUUCAUAAACAGUAGUCACAUUUUGACUAGAAAAUAGCUGGAAAUGAUUUGUGCCUAUGAGAUUAUUUAAUAUGUUUUUAGUUUGCUACAGUCAUUGAAUGAAAACAGUUGUCACUGGGUUAGAAUCUUUUGCGAUGAAAGACUCAGAUAAAUGCUUUGAACCAAUCAUCAAUUGUGCAUUGCCAAGUUGUCAUCAAUUUGAUUAUCACAUUGGGAAUAAUUCUUGAAACCAUGUUCAAUGGGAAAAACAAGUCUACAAUUGCAAUGACAGGAACAUUUGUACUCUUACCAUAUCUUGCCAUACUAUUUACCUUUGAAUCUAAAUGCCCAGCUUUUCUUUCACAUUUGGAAUAAUUGGAAAGCACACUUAGCAAAAUUCCUACAGUCUGUCUCAAUUUCAUGCUGCUUCACAUGUAAGCAAUGGUUAAAUACAAGACAGCCCCAAUGUUCACGCCUGUCACCUGCUUUAACAAAUAAUCAGAAUUAAACUACCUUUUAAUUUUCUUACUAAUCUUACAAACACGUAUAUCAGUUAAAACAAAAAUGAAGAGAAGCAUUUUAAAUUCUUUUAUUUUUCUAAUAACCAGUUCACGCCAGAUAACGUGUCUACACACAAAUGUUUUCGGCAUUCAGAACAGAUGACAGUUAUAAACAUGCAGGGAGCGAGGCCUGAAAUAUGAUACGUCAGCAACCCGCACGCAGUAAACGAGGCUGGAAAUAUAAAGUGAUGCCCGAGGGUAAUCCCGCGUCUCGCUCCGUUCUGGUCAAAAUAUUCCUGGCAUAAACUGGUUAAUACGAAAGUCAGUUUAAAAUGAUACGCCAUCACCGCCAGCCAGGGCAUACAUGUACACCCAACUGACACCCUGAUGUUGGGCCAUUCCAAGGAUCAAGCAUGUUAUUCUUCCCUAACCUAUAUAUUUAUGAUAACUGUUACUUGUUUCUCAUUUGGAGGUUUGUGGAGGAGGGUAAAACAGGUUUCCCUCAAAUGUAAAGAUACGCCAUCACCAGCCAGAUAAUAUAUCCAACUGACACCCUGAUGCUAGGCCAUUACAAGGAUCACGCGCACUACAGUCUAUUAAUCCAACCAUAACUAUAAUUACUUAGUCCUCCAAGUCCUCUACAACAAGUACAAAUAUAUAUCGGGAAAGAUUUGAAGCCAUGAAAAAAGAAACCAUAUUUUCCUAGUUUGGAUCACCAAGUCCUGACAAAACUAAGUCCAUAAUGUCAUGUCUAUUUAUAAAUUUGCUGCUGGAGGGGAAAAAGAUGUUGCAUGGAGGAACUACAUGUUGCCACUUGCUACUAGAGAGAGAAGUCACCAUGAUGAACUGUGACAAAUCUAGACUGUCUGGAGAUGUCACCCAUGAUGAACUCAGUGUCACAGGCAUAGACUGGCUACUGUGGCUGAAGAGGUGUCACGAUGCAUUAUGAACUGUCACAGUCUUAGACUGGCUCCUGGGUAAAGAGAUGUCACCAUGGUGAACUCAGUGUCACAGGUCUAGACGGGUUUCCGGGUGAAAAGGUGGUCACCGUUAUUAACUGUAACAAGUCUUGACUUGCUUCUGGGUGAAGAGAGAUCAAUACGAUGAACUGUCACAGUUUAAAAUUGCUCCUUUUGUGAAGAGUUGUCACCCUGAUUAACUAGUCACACAUCUAGACUGGUUACUGUGUGAAUAGAUGUCACCUGGAUGAACUGUCACAGUUUUAGACUGGCUUUUGGGUAAAGAGACGUUGCCAAGGUGAACUCGGUGUCACAGGUCUAGACUGGCUACUGGGUGAAUAGAUGUCACCUGGAUGAACUGUCACAGUUUUAGACUGGCUUUUGGGUAAAGAGACGUUGCCAAGGUGAACUCGGUGUCACAGGUCUAGACUGGCUACUGGGUGAAGAGACGUCACCAUGAUGAACUGUCACAGGUCUAGACUGGCUACUAGGUGAAGAGAUGUCACCAUGAUGAA